rnacentral:rRNA from 1 species
GCUGGCGGCACGCUUAAUACAUGCAAGUCGAACGAGAAACUUGGUUCGCCAAGUGGACAGUGGCAGACGGUUGAGUAACGCGUGGGAAUCUACCUAGAGGUUCGGAAUAACUAUUGGAAACGAUAGCUAAUACCGGAUAAGCCCUUCGGGGGAAAGAUUUAUUGCCUUUAGAUGAGCCCGCGUCGGAUUAGCUAGUUGGUAAGGUAACGGCUUACCAAAGCUACGAUCCGUAGCUGAUCUGAGAGGAUGAUCAGCCAGAUUGGGACUGA